AGCCAACUUCAAGAUAAGAUUUCCCACCGCAAGGGUAAGACCCCAGAAAGACUAUCUGGUUGAUAGGUCGAAGGUGUAAGUGCAGCAAUGUAUUUAGCUUAUCGAUACUAAUAGGUCGAGGACUUGACCAAUAUUUAUU
rnacentral:rRNA from 1 species